rnacentral:rRNA from 1 species
CGUGGGAAACCUGCCUUCGAGCGGGGGAUAACAUCCCUAACGGGGUGCUAAUACCGCAUGACACCAUCGAACUUCAUGGUUUGAUGGUCAAAGGUGGCCUCUGAUUUAAGCUACCGCUCGAAGAUGGUCCCGCGUCCGAUUAGCUUGUUGGUGGGGUAACGGCUCACCAAGGCUACUAUCGGUAGCUGGUCUGAGAGGAUGGUCAGCCACACUGGGACUGAGAUACGGCCCAG